rnacentral:rRNA from 1 species
UACGAAGGGGGCGAGCGUUGUUCGGAAUUACUGGGCGUAAAGGGCGCGUAGGCGGCCGAGCAAGUUAGAUGUGAAAGUCCUGGGCUUAACCUGGGGACUGCAUUUGAUACUGCUUGGCUUGAAUUCGGGAGAGGAUAGCGGAAUUCCCAGUGUAGAGGUGAAAUUCGUAGAUAUUGGGAGGAACACCGGUGGCGAAGGCGGCUAUCUGGACCGACAUUGACGCUGAGGCGCGAAAGCGUGGGGAGCAAACAGG